rnacentral:rRNA from 1 species
AUACGGAGGGUGCAAGCGUUAAUCGGAAUUACUGGGCGUAAAGCGCGCGUAGGCGGUUUGGUAAGUCGGAUGUGAAAGCCCCGGGCUCAACCUGGGAAUUGCAUUCGAUACUGCCAGACUAGAGUAUUGUAGAGGGAAGUGGAAUUCCGGGUGUAGCGGUGAAAUGCGUAGAUAUCCGGAGGAACACCAGUGGCGAAGGCGACUUCCUGGACCAAUACUGACGCUGAGGUGCGAAAGCGUGGGGAGCAAACAGGAUUAGAAACCCCAGUAGUCC